ensembl:lncRNA
AAGAUAGCACCAACGUCCUGUUUCUUAGCUCUCGCUGCACGUACAGUACAGUGAGAUCAGCUGUUGUUGAGUUGUGUGUGUUCGUCAGUGGAAAACUCCCCCCACACUGCCUGACGUAAACAGUAAUAUGAGGACAAAAACAGCAGUCAUGACGCUCGGCGCGUGCUGCACAUCGACACGCUGGGUAAAGAACAGUCAGUCACGACGGAACUGGCAAAACAAACUUGUCUAUCAGGAAAACCUGCCCUGACCAACCAACAAGACGCCAAAUCAUUCAGCUGCCCAUCACACGAGGAUGUACUGGAUGUCCUUCGUUUGUCAGUUCCAGCUUAUGCUGACAAAGAAAAGACAGGCAGUGAUAAGAGAUCAGACAAAAGGCAGAGGUGAAAAAUAUAAGACUGCUGCUCCAGCCACUCAGCCAAUCACUAGAGAAACACUCCCUGGAUACCAAAGAGCCUUUCCAUGGCAAUGACACUGUGAAACAUCCAUCACAGGAGACUUCUUGGGCAUCAUGGUUUCAGAGGCAGAUGGUAACAUCUUUGUGCCUCCCUCUCACUCUUUCUUUCUCUCUCCUUCUCGCACACACAUAACACUGACUGUAUCACCUCAAUGAUUUCCCAUCUGUUUGGUAGUGAAACCACAGGGCACAUAUCACCCGUCAGCCCCUCCUUCUGAGCUGGUGGUAAGACAGACAUACAAAAGAACCACAGACGCUUAAAAAGCAGGUUAAAACAUGUCAACAAUACACUGGAGAACGAGCUUUCAAACAUAACACAUCCAUCUGCUGAAAGGUUCAAUGUUUUGUAUGAAAGAUAUUGUGAUUAUUAUUAACUAUUCUAAGAAUAGUGGACCACAAGUGGAAAAUGCGAUGUAGGCUGAGUUGUUUCUGCACAACUUAUUUUUAGUGCAAACCACAGACACUGCACAACAUAAGCAAAUCAAUUCAAAGCAUGGACCAUAAACUCUGUAUGCAGAGUAAAAGUGCUAAUGGAGAGAAGGUAAUACUGUAGGUUAUUAUCACACACAAUGUACAUCUGAGAAUAAUACACUUGACAAAAACAGAAUUUGAUGAUUUCUUCAUCUAUC